UAGAACGUCGUGAGACAGUUCGGUCCCUAUCUGCCGUGGGCGCUGGAGAACUGAGGGGGGCUGCUCCUAGUACGAGAGGACCGGAGUGGACGCAUCACUGGUGUUCGGGUUGUCAUGCCAAUGGCACUGCCCGGUAGCUAAAUGCGGAAGAGAUAAGUGCUGAAAGCAUCUAAGCACGAAACUUGCCCCGAGAUGAGUUCUCCCUGACCCUUUAAGGGUCCUGAAGGAACGUUGAAGACGACGACGUUGAUAGGCCGGGUGUGUAAGCGCAGCGAUGCGUUGAGCUAACCGGUACUAAUGAACCGUGAGGCUUAACCUU
rnacentral:rRNA from 1 species